GAUGAACGCUGGCGGCGUGCCUAAUACAUGCAAGUCGAGCGAACGGACGAGAAGCUUGCUUCUCUGAUGUUAGCGGCGGACGGGUGAGUAACACGUGGAUAACCUACCUAUAAGACUGGGAUAACUUCGGGAAACCGGAGCUAAUACCGGAUAAUAUUUUGAACCGCAUGGUUCAAAAGUGAAAGACGGUCUUGCUGUCACUUAUAGAUGGAUCCGCGCUGCAUUAGCUAGUUGGUAAGGUAACGGCUUACCAAGGCAACGAUGCAUAGCCGACCUGAGAGGGUGAUCGGCCACACUGGAACUGAGACACGGUCCAGACUCCUACGGGAGGCAGCAGUAGGGAAUCUUCCGCAAUGGGCGAAAGCCUGACGGAGCAACGCCGCGUGAGUGAUGAAGGUCUUCGGAUCGUAAAACUCUGUUAUUAGGGAAGAACAUAUGUGUAAGUAACUGUGCACAUCUUGACGGUACCUAAUCAGAAAGCCACGGCUAACUACGUGCCAGCAGCCGCGGUAAUACGUAGGUGGCAAGCGUUAUCCGGAAUUAUUGGGCGUAAAGCGCGCGUAGGCGGUUUUUUAAGUCUGAUGUGAAAGCCCACGGCUCAACCGUGGAGGGUCAUUGGAAACUGGAAAACUUGAGUGCAGAAGAGGAAAGUGGAAUUCCAUGUGUAGCGGUGAAAUGCGCAGAGAUAUGGAGGAACACCAGUGGCGAAGGCGACUUUCUGGUCUGUAACUGACGCUGAUGUGCGAAAGCGUGGGGAUCAAACAGGAUUAGAUACCCUGGUAGUCCACGCCGUAAACGAUGAGUGCUAAGUGUUAGGGGGUUUCCGCCCCUUAGUGCUGCAGCUAACGCAUUAAGCACUCCGCCUGGGGAGUACGACCGCAAGGUUGAAACUCAAAGGAAUUGACGGGGACCCGCACAAGCGGUGGAGCAUGUGGUUUAAUUCGAAGCAACGCGAAGAACCUUACCAAAUCUUGACAUCCUUUGACAACUCUAGAGAUAGAGCUUUCCCCUUCGGGGGACAAAGUGACAGGUGGUGCAUGGUUGUCGUCAGCUCGUGUCGUGAGAUGUUGGGUUAAGUCCCGCAACGAGCGCAACCCUUAAGCUUAGUUGCCAUCAUUAAGUUGGGCACUCUAAGUUGACUGCCGGUGACAAACCGGAGGAAGGUGGGGAUGACGUCAAAUCAUCAUGCCCCUUAUGAUUUGGGCUACACACGUGCUACAAUGGACAAUACAAAGGGCAGCGAAACCGUGAGGUCAAGCAAAUCCCAUAAAGUUGUUCUCAGUUCGGAUUGUAGUCUGCAACUCGACUACAUGAAGCUGGAAUCGCUAGUAAUCGUAGGUCAGCAUGCUACGGUGAAUACGUUCCCGGGUCU
rnacentral:rRNA from 1 species